UUACAAAAGAAUGUUAAUUGUCACGUGUUACAUUUUGAUUCGAUGUUGAUAACAACAAUACAUUUUCAUCGUUCAUAGAGUCAACAUUCGAUAAGAAUAUGACACAUGUCAUCGUUAAAUCAAAAACUGACAUGUGACAAUCAACAUUU
rfam:Glycine max cultivar Williams 82 chromosome 1, whole genome shotgun sequence.